AAAGAGAUUUUCUAGAACUCAGGAAAGUCUCCUUCCAUGAUAUUUGAAAUACUGUUAAUUUGGUUUGACUCUGUACCAACGGUAGGCGAGUGGAGGCGGAGCGGGCCGAGACAAGCAGUAAGAAACUCCUGCAGCUGAUAAGACUAAUCUGGUGACGUCAAUAAAGAAGAGAGAGAUAUGCGGGAGGGUCGCUGAAAGGUGAUUUAAGCGCGGGUGAGAGCCGGUGAAAGACUUGUCGGCCGGCAAAUGAACUCGGGUGGACGCGAGAAAAGGCAUGCCAACCCACGAGGAAACUUGGGCACAGGUUAAAGAGAGAAAGCGCACCGAGGCGGAAGGAACUACUGCCGGUAAACAUCAAGAGGAAAUGCGUCCCGAACCGCAAGUGUGUGGGUGAGGACUCGUUCGAGUUGCAAAUGGUGGAGUUGGAGAUGGAGCCUUUGGAGAAACAGAUUCGCGAGCUGCAUGUAAAGCAUGCCCGGCUGCGAGAGCGGAAAGCAGCGCUGGAAACAUCCCGGGCAGAUGCGCACUCAUCCCAGUAUGUUUGUCCCUGAUGAGCAACUGUGGCAAGGAAAAACUCCCCGAGAUGGCAUAAGG